rnacentral:rRNA from 1 species
CAGGUGUAGCAAUACAUGCUGACGAGCGGCGGACGGGUGAGUAACGCUUGGGAAUCUGCCUGUUAGUGGGGGACAACCCGGGGAAACUCGGGCUAAUACCGCAUACGCACUACGGUGGAAAGCCGGGGACCGCAAGGCCUGGCGCUAACAGAUGAGCCCAAGUCGGAUUAGCUAGUUGGUAGGGUAACGGCCUACCAAGGCGACGAUCCGUAACUGGUCUGAGAGGACGACCAGUCACACCGGAACUGAGACACGGUCCGGACUCCUACGGGAGGCAGCAGUGGGGAAUAUUGGACAAUGGGGGCAACCCUGAUCCAGCGACGCCGCGUGGGUGAAGAAGGCCUGCGGGUUGUAAAGCCCUUUCGGUUGGGAAGAAAAGUUGCGGUUUAAUACAUCGCGACCUUGACGUAACCAACUAAAGAAGCACCGGCUAACUCUGUGCCAGCAGCCGCGGUAAUACAGAGGGUGCGAGCGUUAAUCGGAAUUACUGGGCGUAAAGCGCGCGUAGGCGGCUUUUCAAGUCGAUUGUGAAAUCCCCGGGCUUAACCUGGGAACUGCAGUCGAGACUGUCUAGCUAGAGUAUGGGAGAGGGAAGUGGAAUUUCAGGUGUAGCGGUGAAAUGCGUAGAUAUCUGAAGGAACAUCAGUGGCGAAAGCGACUUCCUGGACCAAUACUGACGCUCAUGUGCGAAAGCGUGGGGAGCAAACAGGAUUAGAUACCCUGGUAGUCCACGCCAUAAACGAUGAGAACUGGAUGUCGGAGGGGUCUGCCCUUCGGUGUCGUAGCUAACGC